rnacentral:ncRNA from 1 species
GCAUCUCUGGAAAGAGCUGGUCACCGUCGUCCGUGACCCGGCCGCCGAAGGAGCAAAGCUCUCAGGCACCAUCGACAGAGUGGGGA